UUCAAUUACAAUUAAUAUCCCUAAACUUAGUAUAUGAUUGUCAGAAAUAUGAAUUAAAGUUUCUGUUUCUGUUGCUGCAGAUAGCUCAAGGUUUUAGCCUCCUCUUUGGUCCACAAACAGCUGUCAAACUGCUGGAGAAGUGUCCUACAUUCUAUAAGGAAAAGGUGAUCAGAGAAGCAGAGAAUUACUACCAUCUCAGUGCUCCAGAGUUGGCUGAAGUCUGCCAGGAAUCAGUACCAUGAUAAAUCUUCAGAGGAUCACCCAGAGUGGGACAGUGAUAUGAGAUAUUUUCUGCUGCUUCUGCAUAUCCUGCCACCACAACCUUU